UACGGGAGGCAGCAAGGGGGAAUAUUGCACAAUGGGCGCAAGCCUGAUGCAGCCAUGCCGCGUGUAUGAAAAAGGCCUUCGGGUUGUAAAGUACUUUCAGUCGUGAGGAAGGUGUUAAGGUUAAUAACCUUAGCAAUUGACGUUAGCGACAGAAGAAGCACCGGCUAACUCCGUGCCAGCAGCCGCGGUAAUACGGAGGGUGCGAGCGUUAAUCGGAAUUACUGGGCGUAAAGGGCACGCAGGCGGUUAAUUAAGUUGGAUGUGAAAUCCCCGGGCUUAACCUGGGAAUGGCAUUCAAGACUGGUUAGCUAGAGUCUUGUAGAGGGGGGUUAGAAUUCCAUGUGUAGCGGUGAAAUGCGUAGAGAUGUGGAGGAAUACCGGUGGCGAAGGCGGCCCCUGGACAAAGACUGACGCUCAUGUGCGAAAGCGUGGGGAGCAAACGAGGAUUAGAUACCCGU
rnacentral:rRNA from 1 species